CGGCCUCCGAUCGGUCAGUCAUCGGCCUUUCAUCGGCCACUGUACCGGCCGCCGAUCUCCGGCGCCGGCACCACCGUAUGCGGUGGCCGGGAAAAUCUCCCUUUUAGCCUUCUCGACACCCUUAUGCCCAAAUUCGGGCUUAAAUCCUUCAAAACGCCAGCAAGGAGGUUCCAAAACAACACGAAACCUUUCGAUUUUCGGCCACCGAUCCUCGGGGGUGACUCCCUCGGCCGUCGUACGGCGUUUCCAAGGAGAAAAGGUUGUUUCCCUCCUUUAUUCUGAUUUAUAAAAGUAUAUAAAAAAUAAAUAAAUAAUAAAAUAGAAUAGAAAACAACCUUAGAUUUCGUUUGUUUCGCUGUUUGUGUUGUAAAAAUUGUGCCUUUUUUAUUGAUUUCAAAUCGGGAUCUCUAUUACAGUAUGCUCAAUGGCCUCUUAUAGCAGUAUGAAACAAAUCUAAAAAGGAAAGAAAUCUGUUCUUGAUUUGAUUUACAAAUAUUGUUGAUUCCCUUUCCAUUUCAUUUUUCUUGCUAUGCAGGUGAAUCCAUGGAGAUUCGGCCAAGAUUGGAGUUGCGACGCUGUUGAGGACUAGAAACCCUAGGGUUUCGGCAAUUUUGGGCCACCGUACAUUGGGCCAGUGUUUUAUUUUGGUUUGGACCCCAUUUUGUUGUAGUUGGGCAGUUUCAUUUGGGCCCGUUUAUAAUUUGUACCCGGGGCAAAGAAUCGGGUAUUACAACCUUCAAUACUUGUCUUUAAUGUCUCAUAAC
rnacentral:lncRNA from 1 species